AUAGCCCAGAGAAAUUUGGAUUAAUACCCGAUAGUAUUAUAAUAAGGCAUCUUGUUGUAAUUAAAGCUAUGGCGGAUAAGGAUGAGCGUGCGCAAGAUUAGCUAGUUGGUGAGGUAACGGCUCACCAAGGCGACGAUCUUUAGCUGAUGUGAGAGCAUGAUCAGCCACACGGGCACUGAGACACGGGCCCGACUCCUACGGGAGGCAGCAGUGAGGAAUAUUGGUCAAUGGACGGAAGUCUGAACCAGCCAUGCCGCGUGAAGGAUGAAGGCGUUCUGCGUUGUAAACUUCUUUUAUUUAGGAAGAAACCACCGAUUUCUAUUGGUGUUGACGGUAUUAAAUGAAUAAGCACCGGCUAACUCCGUG
rnacentral:rRNA from 1 species